AGUGGGGGAUAACGUAGCGAAAGUUACGCUAAUACCGCAUAUGCCCUGAGGGGGAAAGGUGGGGAUCGCAAGACCUAUCGCUUUCGGAGUGGCCGAUAUCGGAUUAGCUAGUUGGUGAGGUAAAGGCUUACCAAGGCGACGAUCCGUAGCUGGUCUGAGAGGACGACCAGCCACACUGGGACUGAGACACGGCCCAGACUCCUACGGGAGGCAGCAGUGGGGAAUUUUGGACAAUGGGGGCAACCCUGAUCCAGCCAUGCCGCGUGAGUGAAGAAGGCCUUCGGGUUGUAAAGCUCUUUCAGCUGGAAAGAAAUCAUAUCUACUAAUACUAGGUGUGGAUGACGGUACCAGCAGAAGAAGCACCGGCUAACUACGUGCCAGCAGCCGCGGUAAUACGUAGGGUGCGAGCGUUAAUCGGAAUUACUGGGCGUAAAGCGUGCGCAGGCGGCUUUUUAAGCCAGAUGUGAAAUCCCCGGGCUUAACCUGGGAACUGCAUUUGGAACUGGAAGGCUAGAGUGUAGCAGAGGGGGGUAGAAUUCCA
rnacentral:rRNA from 1 species